AAAACCACCACCAACUGCUUACCCAACUCCAUUACGUAUAUUUCUUGUCAGUGGUGAUAUAAAACUUAUACAUGAAGUACAACAAGUACUACGAGAAUUACAAGCCAAUGAGAGACUUAAUGGGGAAACCUAUUCUGAUAAAGAUAAUCACAAUUUAAUGCGACCACUCAAAACGACUGAAGCAAAAGCUUUAGAAGCACAAGAUACUGACAAAUAAUGUCCUGUUUCUUUAUAAACUUUAUUUACAUGUACAUGUACAAUACAAGUACACUAAAAAACACAGCUACUAGUUAAUAAUAAUACAUCCAUACAUGUAUAAUGCUGAACUGAUAGUUGUCCUUAUUGUGUUAAGUUAAACAAUACAAAUAUAACAGCGUUAGAUUAUAAA